AAGGGACAUGGAUCACUCUUUGUGUUUAACCUCUUGCUACUGAAAUCACCUUCCUUCCUACCUCAUAGCUGCAUUCCUACCAUCCAGAAAACAAGGUCUGUGCCUUCCUGUUCUUAAUACGCUCAUAUAGAAAAUGAAUCAGAUAUGAAAUAACAUUAGACAUGUAUUGAUGAUUGAUACAUGGGAGUGAGGCAUUUUGCUGCAUGAUGUCUAUAAGUGGUAAUUUGCACUGUUGCCAGAGUAAUUUAUGGCAAAUGUGUGUUCUGCUGUCAUGAAUUGCUAUAUAAUGUGAUAUUACUAGCCUGUACCUGUUUGUGAUUACUUGCUCAAUUUGUUCCCAGACACCGUAAUUAUACUCCCAGAAGCUACUACAGACAACUGGUCCAUUUACCUUAAUUAUGGAUCGCUGUAAUACAUGGUCAUUACACGUCUUCUGGUUGUUGAUAUUGUAGUAGGAUAAAAUAUAAUAGUACCAUUAAUUUCAGUGAAUUCGAAUUUCAAAUGUCAUAGUUGUUUGCAGUUAUAAAUAGACCAUUACAGUUUAUCUCAGUGUGACUUAUUAUUUGGUAGUACUAUGGUACAAGUACUCUUAAAGGGGCAGUUCAGACAAAAAUAAGAUUUUUCUGUGUUUUAUAUAUAUUUCCACACCAUAGAUUGAAAUGAUACUGUAAAAUUGUGAAAAUUAUGAUAAUGCACUUCUAGUGCUCUAUUUUAACAAACCUAACACAAUGGUAAAUCUAAAGGCUCUAUUUUAACAAACCUAACACAAUGGUAAAUCUAGGGGCUCUAUUUUAACUAACCUAACACAAUUGGAAAUCUAGGGGCGCUAGUUUAACUAACAAACAACAAUGGUAAAUCUAAGGGGCUCUAUUUAACAACAACACAAUGGUACAAUCUAGGGGCUCUAUUUUAACAAACCUAACAUGUGGUAAAUCUAGGGGCUCUAUUUUAACUAACCUAACACAAUGGUACAUCUAGGGGCUCUAUUUUAACAAACCUAACAUGUGGUAAAUCUAGGGUCUAUUUAAAAACUAACCAACACAAUGGUAAAUCAAGGCUCUAUUUUAACAAACCUAACACAUGGUAAAUCUAGGGGCUCUAUUUAAACUAACCUAACACAAGGUAACAUCUAGGUGCUCUAUUUAACUAACCUAACACAAUGGUACAUCAGGG
rnacentral:lncRNA from 1 species